rnacentral:rRNA from 1 species
GACGAACGCUGGCGGCGUGCCUAAUACAUGCAAGUCGAACGAAGCUGUUUUAACUGGUGCUUGCACCGACUUAAACAACUGAGUGGCGAACGGGUGAGUAACACGUGGGUAACCUGCCCCAAAGCGGGGGAUAACAUUUGGAAACAGAUGCUAAUACCGCAUAACCACAGAAACCACAUGGUUUCUGUGUCAAAGAUGGUUUCGGCUAUCACUUUGGGAUGGACCCGCGGCGUAUUAGCUAGUUGGUAAGGUAAUGGCUUACCAAGGCAAUGAUACGUAGCCGAACUGAGAGGGUGAUCGGCCACAUUGGGACUGAGACACGGCCCAAACUCCUACGGGAGGCAGCAGUAGGGAAUCUUCCACAAUGGACGAAAGUCUGAUGGAGCAACGCCGCGUGAGUGAAGAAGGUUUUCGGAUCGUAAGACUCUGUUGUCAGAGAAGAACGUGUGCGAGAGUAACUGUUCGUGCAGUGACGGUAUCUGGCCAGAAAGCCACGGCUAACUACGUGCCAGCCGCCGCCGUAA